AUGUCGAAGGUGUCCUUUAAGAUCAUGCUGAUGUCAGACCCAUGGCUGCCGUACAAAGUACUGAGUGUUCUUGAAAGUACACCUUUCACAGCAGUCUUAAAGUUUGCAGCAGAAGAAUUUAAAGUUCCUGCAGCAACAAGUGCAAUUAUUACCAAUGAUGGAAUAGGAAUAAAUCCUGCACAGACUGCUGGAAAUGUUUUUCUAAAUCAUGGUUCAGAACUGCAAAUUAUCCCUAGAGAUCGUGUUGGAAGUUGUUACUGUCUGCAGGGAACCUUUCAGAAUAAAAACUGCUAUUUUUAUUUUGUUUGUAAAAGUGAAAACAGGCAUUUAAUACACAAUGAGAACAUGAAGAGUCAAGGAAACAAUAAGAGGUAA